CGCCGCGGAGGCUGGAGGGCUUGUGCCAUUGGCAGCAACAGAGGCUGAAGCCUCUUCUCAUCCACAGGUCAGGUACAGUGUGGACAAGUGCACUGCAGACUCCCCUACACCGCGCCGCCGGUGCACCUCAAAGCGGACAUGGAAGGACCACUAUCUAACAGGGGUGAGAAGGUCAUCCUCUUUCAGUACUGACUGCGCGAACUCUUCCUCAUCUGUCCAUGGCGCUACCAGCACCACUGCCCCUCAGUCGUUGAAAUACAGUGUCCAAUCCAAGGCAACUGUAAUCAGUCAUGCAGGAGAAACUCAAAUCCAGCAUUCUCGGUUUUUUUCCAUUGACCAGCAUCUAACAUCCACUAUUAUUUCUCCAGCAGCACUCUGUGUAUGUGUGUGUUGAGUGCACAGUUACAUUUUUCACUU
ensembl:lncRNA